rnacentral:rRNA from 1 species
GAUGAAAGAGGGCGGAGGGAGGAAUACAUGCAAGUCGAGCGAACGGACGAGAAGCUUGCUUCUCUGAUGUUAGCGGCGGACGGGUGAGUAACACGUGGAUAACCUACCUAUAAGACUGGGAUAACUUCGGGAAACCGUAGCUAAUACCGGAUAAUAUUUUGAACCGCAUGGUUCAAAAGUGAAAGACGGUCUUGCUGUCACUUAUAGAUGGAUCCGCGCUGCAUUAGCUAGUUGGUAAGGUAACGGCUUACCAAGGCAACGAUGCAUAGCCGACCUGAGAGGGUGAUCGGCCACACUGGAACUGAGACACGGUCCAGACUCCUACGGGAGGCAGCAGUAGGGAAUCUUCCGCAAUGGGCGAAAGCCUGACGGAGCAACGCCGCGUGAGUGAUGAAGGUCUUCGGAUCGUAAAACUCUGUUAUUAGGGAAGAACAUAUGUGUAAGUAACUGUGCACAUCUUGACGGUACCUAAUCAGAAAGCCACGGCUAACUACGUG